GACGAACGCUGGCGGCGUGGAUUAGGCAUGCAAGUCGAACGGUAUCAUCCUUUCGGGGGUGAGAGAGUGGCGAACUGGUGAGUAACACGUAGGUUAUCUACCCUCAAGACGGGGACAACCCAGGGAAACUUGGGCUAAUACCGGAUGUGAGCAACUUUUAGUUGUUUGAAAGGUGGCGUAAGCUGUCGCUUGGGGAUGAGCCUGCGUCCUAUUAGUUAGUUGGUGAGGUAACGGCUCACCUAGGCAAUGAUAGGUAGGCGGCCUUAACGGGUGGUCGCCCACACCUGGGAUUGAGAUACGGCCCAGACUCCUACGGGAGGCAGCAGUCGAGAAUAGUCUACAAUGGUCGGAAGACUGAUAGUGCGACGCCGCGUGAACGAUGAAUCCCUUCGGGGUGUAAAGUUCUUUUAUAUGUGUAGCAGUGCUUCUUAUAUUAACAGUAUGGGGAGAGAGAUAUUAGCAUAUGAAUAAGCAACGGCUAACUCCGUGCCAGCAGCCGCGGUAACUCG
rnacentral:rRNA from 1 species